AAUUGAACGCUGGCGGCGUGCCUAACACAUGCAAGUCGAGCGGUAACAGGUGUAGCAAUACAUGCUGACGAGCGGCGAACGGGUGAGUAAUGCUUCGGAAUCUACCCAAUGGUGGGGAAUAACCAGCCGAAAGGUUGGCUAAUACCGCAUACGUCCUACGGGAGAAAGCAGGGGAUCGUAAGACCUUGCGCCAAUGGAUGAGCCGAAGUCGGAUUAGCUAGUUGGUAGGGUAACGGCCUACCAAGGCGACGAUCCGUAGCUGGUCUGAGAGGACGACCAGCCACACUGGGACUGAGACACGGCCCAGACUCCUACGGGAGGCAGCAGUGGGGAAUAUUGGACAAUGGGGGAAACCCUGAUCCAGCGACGCCGCGUGUGUGAAGAAGGCCUGCGGGUUGUAAAGCACUUUUAGUGGGGAUGAAAAGUUCAGGGCUAAUACCCCUGGAUCUUGACCUAACCCACAGAAAAAGCACCGGCUAACUCUGUGCCAGCAGCCGCGGUAAUACAGAGGGUGCAAGCGUUAAUCGGAAUUACUGGGCGUAAAGCGUGCGUAGACGGUUACAUAAGUCGGGUGUGAAAGCCCCGGGCUCAACCUGGGAAUUGCAUUCGAGACUGC
rnacentral:rRNA from 1 species